rnacentral:RNase_P_RNA from 1 species
GGUGAAAAGGUAGGGUAAGAGCCUACCGGGAGAUGAAGUAAUUCGUCUCCGUCCAGGCAAACCCCUUCCGGAGCAAGGCCAAAUAGGGAAUUCAUACCGUGGCCCGCGGUUGUUCACGUCAAGACGUGGACAGAAUUCCGGGUAGGCCGCAUGAGAUGAAUGAUCGCCACCCUGCUUUGCAGGGGACAGAAUCCGGCUUACAGCCACUAUUUCCUG